rnacentral:sRNA from 1 species
UGACAUUCUCUCUUGCUUUCUCAUGGCGC